CCCCGGCCCCUUUAAAUCGCCGCUGGAGCCCAGGGCGGCACGGGCCAGGCAGCCUGGAAGGGCCGGCUGGGGGACACUGACCCUCCAGCCCCGCCCCUUCCAGGGGGGCCAGAGCUGGCCCCCGUACCGACCUGUCCCGCUGGUGAGAUUUCAGAUGCCCCAUGACUACUCAGUUGAAAAAUGUACCACAACAUUUUGGAUUCUUUCUAUCUUCUGCUAUAUCUUACUGGGUAUUUGUAAAGUAUAUGGGUACUACAGAAAUGCAACAUACCUGGGCAUGAAGCCUCCAGAACUUCAGAAGUUCCUGCUAGUACAGAAUACGGCAGUGCAUCUCUCUAGUGACACUAGCUACUGGAAACACAUCAAAAUCUACCCUUCCCUCCCUACACUGGCUUCAAAUCACAUUCAAAGUCUUGGUCCUUGUCCUCAAGGUGUUCAAUGGACUGGGUUCCAAGAGAACAACUGAAGCUCUGGGGUGAAGACUCUGGUCAACAACUUUGCUCCUAUGGCACAACAAAGAUCUCUACAAUAAGAGUAUAAAGCUCAUCUGUGAGAGAGACAGAACUUUCUCAGAGGCCAGCUCAAGACCGAGGAAUGAACUCCCAAAUGAACUAAAGACCAUUACAAACCUCACCACCUUCUGCUCCAAGUACAAGUUCUUUGACCUAGUCUUCUCUAACUUACAGACAUGUUGCUAUAAGUUUAAAAAACAUUUCACUGCACACACUUCUUCCCCUAGGGAAAAGAGAACAAACACAUGACAGCUGUUACUCACAUUGCUUAAAGAAAAGGAGUACUUGUGGCACCUUAG